ACGGCUGUGACGAUACGAAAACGUUAUAUUUAAAUGUAUAUAAAUUUGAGAAGAGUGAAAAUUGAAGUGGAAAAUUCAAUCGUUAAUUCUUUUAGGAUUUCAAACUUUUGUGUAAAGAUGAGUCAUUCGAUAAAAAUAGGUUAAGUUAAAUUACAUCCUGCCAGAAGCAAACAAAUUUCCGGAUAAUCAUGAGCAGUAGUGUAAACGAAAUUUAUGACUAAUCAACUUGAUGAUUAGGUUAAGGAAGUGAGUCGCUACAAGAGCGAUGCAAAGCUACAAUGUUUGAACAUGGCUGCACAAUCGCGCGUAAUCUAAAUUCGAUACGCUCUACGAUUUACCAUUGCUAGUGAAGCACGGACAUAGCGCGUUGAAUAUUCGACUGCAAAAUCCACGUGCACGACGAUUCCAACCAGUGAUGCUACCGAUACCUUUUAAUCUACUUCCUACACAGACAAAUAUUUUAAUUAUCAAAAAAAUUAUGAAUAAAAAUAAAUUUUGAAAUAAAAUCUAUCUUUAAUCUAUCUAAAAUAUA